UCUGUAGUAAACUUUGUGUUCUUCUUGAAGGUUGGAAAGAUGGAAGAGGGCAUAAAGUCUGAUAACCAUUUAACAUCGGCUGCGGCCUUUGUGGAAGGGGGGAUUCAAGAAGCUUGUGAUGAUGCUUGUAGCAUAUGCCUUGAAGCAUUUUGUGAAAGUGAUCCUUCAACGGUGACUGGUUGCAAGCAUGAGUUUCAUCUUCAAUGCAUUCUUGAAUGGUAGUCUUAUUUAAUUACGGUCUGAGUAAUAUCUGCAUCCAACUUAUUUUGUUAUAGUAAACUUUUUAUUGUAAAGAUAGAUGGUCAACCAUCUGGACUGAAGUGAGACUAUCUAAUUGGUUUUGUAGCAUUACUAGGAAACUAAAAUAUGGAGUGGUAUGGUAAGCUAACACAAGGAUUCCACCUAGAGCGAAGUAACAAAGAUAAUAUGACCUAUAUUAAUAUUUCCAAUGAUGAAGUGACCCAGGGCAGACAAUUUUUUUCU